rnacentral:rRNA from 1 species
UGUUAAAAAGCUCGUAGUUGGAUCAAGAGUCGGACACUGCACGGUGGCCCCAUUAGCCAAUUUGGCUCCGGUCAUGUUGGCGGUGGCGGAUCAACCCCGUGCGCCAAACUGUCCGCUCUAACAGACCGAAGCGGUUCCCUGUGAGUAGGCCCCUUGAUUGGGGUCGAAAGCGUCUACGCAUCAACCAUAUGCAUACGGGACGGCGGUCAAAGUUACUGUGAACAAACCAGCGUGUCCAAAGCAGGCUUUCGCCUGAAUGUUCGAGCAUGGAAUAACAAGGGGUCGAUUAUCUCGGUUCUUUUUGUUGGUUUUAACCCGAGAAGGAGAAAUUCAGACCACGGUGUCUGAGUUGGGUUUCCCGAGGCUUCGGCUGAGGCCCCAAUUAGGCCGUAUCCUUACGGGAUCAAUAGGGACUGACGGGGUCGUACGUACUGUCGCGUCAGAGGUGAAAUUCUUAGAUCGCGGCAAGACGAACUUCCUGCGAAAGCAUUCGACAAGAAUGUCUCCAUUAAUCAAGAACGAGAGUGUGGGGAUCGAAGAUGAUCAGAUACCGUCGUAGUCCACUACUGUAAACAAUGCCGUCUCAGGAUUGAGAAGUGAACUGAAUGACUUUCACAGCACUAACCCU